rnacentral:rRNA from 1 species
AGUGAACGCUGGCGGUAGGCCUAACACAUGCAAGUCGAACGGCAGCACAGUAAGAGCUUGCUCUUACGGGUGGCGAGUGGCGGACGGGUGAGGAAUACAUCGGAAUCUACUUUUUCGUGGGGGAUAACGUAGGGAAACUUACGCUAAUACCGCAUACGACCUACGGGUGAAAGCAGGGGAUCUUCGGACCUUGCGCGAUUGCAUGAGCCGAUGUCGGAUUAGCUAGUUGGCGGGGUAAAGGCCCACCAAGGCGACGAUCCGUAGCUGGUCUGAGAGGAUGAUCCGCCACACUGGAACUGAGACACGGUCCAGACUCCUACGGGAGGCAGCAGUGGGGAAUAUUGGACAAAGGGCGCAAGCCUGAUCCAGCCAUACCGCGUGGGUGAAGAAGGCCUUCGGGUUGUAAAGCCCUUUUGUUGGGAAAGAAAAGCAGCAGGUUAAUACCCCGCUGUUCUGACGGUACCCAAAGAAUAAGCACCGGCUAACUUCGUG